rnacentral:tRNA from 1 species
GGAAAUGUGCCCGACUAAUUAAGGACUACUUUGAUAGAGUAACAUAUAGGGGCCCACCCCCCUCAUUUCCU